UAGGGAAUCUUCCGCAAUGGACGCAAGUCUGACGGAGCAACGCCGCGUGAGUGAAGAAGGAUUUCGGUUCGUAAAACUCUGUUGUUAGAGAAGAACAGCGCAUAGAGUAACUGUUAUGCGUGUGACGGUAUCUAACCAGAAAGCCACGGCUAACUACGUGCCAGCAGCCGCGGUAAUACGUAGGUGGCAAGCGUUGUCCGGAUUUAUUGGGCGUAAAGCGAGCGCAGGCGGUCAAUUAAGUCUGAUGUGAAAGCCCCCGGCUCAACCGGGGAGGGUCAUUGGAAACUGGUUUACUUGAGUGCAGAAGAGGAGAGUGGAAUUCCAUGUGUAGCGGUGAAAUGCGUAGAUAUAUGGAGGAACACCAGUGGCGAAGGCGACUCUCUGGUCUGUAACUGACGCUGAGGCUCGAAAGCGUGGGUAGCAAACAGG
rnacentral:rRNA from 1 species